ensembl:rRNA 5S_rRNA 5S ribosomal RNA
CUUCCCUGAACGUGCCCAAUCUCAUCUGAUCUUGGAAGCUUAAGUAGGGUUGGGCCUGGUUAGUACUUGGAUGGGAGACUGAUCUGUAUUUCUAAGA